rnacentral:rRNA from 1 species
GACGAACGCUGGCGGCGUGCCUAAUACAUGCAAGUCGAACGAACUCUGGUAUUGAUUGGUGCUUGCAUCAUGAUUUACAUUUGAGUGAGUGGCGAACUGGUGAGUAACACGUGGGAAACCUGCCCAGAAGCGGGGGAUAACACCUGGAAACAGAUGCUAAUACCGCAUAACAACUUGGACCGCAUGGUCCGAGUUUGAAAGAUGGCUUCGGCUAUCACUUUUGGAUGGUCCCGCGGCGUAUUAGCUAGAUGGUGAGGUAACGGCUCACCAUGGCAAUGAUACGUAGCCGACCUGAGAGGGUAAUCGGCCACAUUGGGACUGAGACACGGCCCAAACUCCUACGGGAGGCAGCAGUAGGGAAUCUUCCACAAUGGACGAAAGUCUGAUGGAGCAACGCCGCGUGAGUGAAGAAGAGUUUCGGCUCGUAAAACUCUGUUGUUAAAGAAGAACAUAUCUGAGAGUAACUGUUCAGGUAUUGACGGUAUUUAACCAGAAAGCCACGGCUAACUACGUGCCAGCAGCCGCGGUAAUACGUAGGUGGCAAGCGUUGUCCGGAUUUAUUGGGCGUAAAGCGAGCGCAGGCGGUUUUUUAAGUCUGAUGUGAAAGCCUUCGGCUCAACCGAAGAAGUGCAUCGGAAACUGGGAAACUUGAGUGCAGAAGAGGACAGUGGAACUCCAUGUGUAGCGGUGAAAUGCGUAGAUAUAUGGAAGAACACCAGUGGCGAAGGCGGCUGUCUGGUCUGUAACUGACGCUGAGGCUCGAAAGUAUGGGUAGCAAACAGGAUUAGAUACCCUGGUAGUCCAUACCGUAAACGAUGAAUGCUAAGUGUUGGAGGGUUUCCGCCCUUCAGUGCUGCAGCUAACGCAUUAAGCAUUCCGCCUGGGGAGUACGGCCGCAAGGCUGAAACUCAAAGGAAUUGACGGGGGCCCGCACAAGCGGUGGAGCAUGUGGUUUAAUUCGAAGCUACGCGAAGAACCUUACCAGGUCUUGACAUACUAUGCAAAUCUAAGAGAUUAGACGUUCCCUUCGGGGACAUGGAUACAGGUGGUGCAUGGUUGUCGUCAGCUCGUGUCGUGAGAUGUUGGGUUAAGUCCCGCAACGAGCGCAACCCUUAUUAUCAGUUGCCAGCAUUAAGUUGGGCACUCUGGUGAGACUGCCGGUGACAAACCGGAGGAAGGUGGGGAUGACGUCAAAUCAUCAUGCCCCUUAUGACCUGGGCUACACACGUGCUACAAUGGAUGGUACAACGAGUUGCGAACUCGCGAGAGUAAGCUAAUCUCUUAAAGCCAUUCUCAGUUCGGAUUGUAGGCUGCAACUCGCCUACAUGAAGUCGGAAUCGCUAGUAAUCGCGGAUCAGCAUGCCGCGGUGAAUACGUUCCCGGGCCUUGUACGCACCGCCCGUCACACCAUGAGAGUUUGUAACACCCAAAGUCGGUGGGGUAACCUUUUAGGAACCAGCCGCCUAAGGUGGGACAGAUGAUUAGGGUG